CCUACGGGAGGCAGCAGUGAGGAAUAUUGGUCAAUGGACGAAAGUCUGAACCAGCCAAGUAGCGUGAAGGAUGACUGCCCUAUGGGUUGUAAACUUCUUUUAUAUGGGAAUAAAAUGUUCCACGUGUGGGAUUUUGUAUGUACCCUAUGAAUAAGGAUCGGCUAACUCCGUGCCAGCAGCCGCGGUAAUACGGAGGAUCCGAGCGUUGUCCGGAUUUAUUGGGUUUAAAGGGAGCGUAGGUGGAUUGUUAAGUCAGUUGUGAAAGUUUGCGGCUCAACCGUAAAAGUGCAGUUGAAACUGGCAGUCGUGAGUACAGUAGAGGUGGGCGGAAUUCGUGGUGUAGCGGUGAAAUGCUUAGAUAUCACGAAGAACUCCGAUUGCGAAGGCAGCUCACUGGACUGCAACUGACACUGAGGCUCGAAAGUGUGGGUAUCAAACAGGAUUAGAUACCCUAGUAGUC
rnacentral:rRNA from 1 species